ensembl:lncRNA
CAGCGCAUUGGCAUUAGUGUAUUGGUGAUUAAAUUAUAGUGCUGAAAUACCUAAUUUAUGUAUCUGGUGUGACAGAUUUUAAGGCGAAAGCCAUAGCCAUACCAACUGGCAGCGGAGAGCUCCUCCCCUGCUCUCAUACUGGGAAUAUACAUGUGCAUAUAAACACUGCAGAACAGAUUGCUGGAUCAGUUUAUCAAGGCACUUCAUCAGGCAGUCCAGGCAGCUGGAAUACUGGAAUAUUGCAUGCUCACACACACAUACACACACACACGCACAAAGUGCAUAACAUUUGCAUAUCAACUCUUGCAGGAAUUGAAGACUCUGAUUUGAAGGUUGCUCCGGUUUGAACAAAACCUAAGUCAAGAUGGGGAAUGAAGCGUCUUACGAAAUGCAGGACCAUAAAGAGGUCAACGGAAAGCUCCAGAAUGGGGGCUUGAAUGGCCACGCUGUGAGCAUCUCUUUGAAGGAGGAACCCAAUGAAAUGGCUGUACAACAGUUCAAUGUCCUCCCCACUCCUCCUAUCGCAAAGGACACAGCCCCCACGGCAGCAAGCGAGCCAGACGGUUUGAAAGCACCCAGCAGCACCCCCCAGGUUCAGCCAUCUCCAAACAAGCCAGAUCCACCCUCUUCUAAAGCCCCAGAGAACCCAUCAUCUGAACUGGUCAACACGGAGGUGCCCACAGAGGGGCAGAGCAGCACCCAGCCACCUCAUGCCUCAGACCCUGAGGAGGAACCCAAGCCUGCCCCUGAGGCCAAGGUUCCCCUCUUCAACAAGCUUUUCAAGAAGAAAACAGAGGACAAGGUUCUGAAGGAUGUGCCUACAGUGCAGCUUGAAGUCUCUGAAGGGGAGAAGCCUGUUGUGAUGACAGUCACCAUAGAUGGCCUCCAGAGUGCGCCCGGACGCACCAAGGAGAAAGCGGCCACGACCAAGGGUUCGAACGGCCUCAGUGGCACGCCAGUGGGAAGCGAAGCCCCCGGCGCCAACGGUGAGAGCGUUCAGGCAGAGGAGACCAAAGAGGGCAAGAGUAUCGUAGAGGAGAACCCAGUAAUGAACUUCUUCAAAACGUUUACAAAGGGCCCUAAGGAGCCUGAGGGCAAGACCAAGCUGGAGAAAGGGUCCCCAGCGAAGGAAGCAGUCCCAUCUGCAACAGAGCCCAAAGAUCUGGAGCCCAGUCCAAAGGACUCUACAGGCGGGGCCUUCAGCAAACUCUUCCGACAGAAGUCUUUUAAGGAUACCCAGCCAACAACCACAAAUGGCGUACAGGAAGUAGAUGCUGCUACCGCUGCAAAGACUGCGAAGACGGUGCCUCCACCAGAGCCACCCAAAGCUGAAACCAAAGCAGAACCAGCUGCUAAAAACAUCCAGAAAGAGGGGCUCAAAGACGUGCCAAGUGGCCCGGAAACGUCCGCCAAGAAGCCUUCUAAAGGUGGCCGCUUCUCCAAACUUUUUAGUUCUAAAACGGCCGCUUCGAAGGCCAGUACCCUAGAGGCCACUCCACCACCAGAGCAGCCCCCGAAACCAAUGGAGAAAAAGAAAUCUAAUCUCAUCUCCAUUUUCAAGACCAAGGCCCCUGAGGCCACAAAGGAAACCCCCCCUGAGGCUCCACCGCUGCCGGAGGCUGCACCCAGCGCCAAGGCGAAAGAGGAGCCCAAGCCCCCCGCAGAGGCCGAGAAGAAGAAGAGCGGCAAGCAGGAGGCUGCCCCUAAAGCCAAGGCUCCUGAGGUCACCGCCGACAACAAGUUGGUGUCUGAGGCCUUGCCAGGUGGAGAUGAUGUUGUCCCCAGUGUCACCAAGAAGCUUGAGAAGAGGAACUCAAUCCAUUUGUUCUUCAAAAGUUUGGGACCAAAACGACUGUCAGAGGUUGGAGUUCAGACCGAUCCUGUGACCAUUACUUACCCCUCUGAAAAGGCCAAGUAACAUCCCACUGCUCUGUUUUCUAAACCCGUGAAGAAAGGCAGGGCAAAACAAACUUUUGUAUAUGUACAUCUUUUGCGUUCUCAUCUGAUUUUCGGUGCAGAAGGGCGGGUGGUGAGAUUUUACAAUGUGCAGCGGGGGUAAGAGCAAGUGGUCGUCGACUGAAAGCUGACGGACAACUGUCGUGUAUGGAAUGGAGGGAAGGGAGGGGUUGGAUCAUGGGGGGCUUUCUUGUGAAAGAGGGUACUUCACUAUGGACGUCAGUGGUGUUUAUGGUGAAAAGGCAAUAGCUAAUCAAUAGAAAUGAUUGACUCUUCUACUGACUGUUAAUUGACACAGCCUUCAUUUUUUUGUCAUAUAGAGUGACGACAGUUUCAUAGCUAGCCUUCGCUCCUGGAAAUGCUUCAUAUAAAACCUUCUAAACUCAAACUUCUUAUUUAUCUCUAUGUUAAAUGGUCUAAUAUAUUAAGAACAUUAUUAUUACUUUUGUUAUUUUCUUUUGUAAGCAUAUAGUUUGUUGUAGAUUGUGUAGGACAUUAAAAGUAUAUUGACUGUAUGAUCAGUUUGCUUUAUUUUCAGACUGUAAAGUGAAAUUCUUGCUUAUAUGUGCAUGUACUGUGAGGAUUAGUGGCAAAGCUGUGAACCCAUGAAAUCUAUAUUUCGCAGCUCACAUCUAUAUUUUCACAGCUUGUUGUAAAACAUUAUUAAAGAAAUUCUACCAAAAGUCAAAAGUCUCAAGAAACGGCAAACCGGGGGAAAAUGACAUAAACUGAACAGAAAAGGAUCUAUGAUCAGAAAAAAAAAUUAAAAAAAAAAAAAAAAAAAAAUUCCUAUAGCCACUAUAGAAUUUCAAAUUUCAACUCACAACUUGCAGUUCUUUUGUGAG